rnacentral:rRNA from 1 species
AUUGAACGCUGGCGGCAGGCCUAACACAUGCAAGUCGAGCGGAUGAAGGGAGCUUGCUCCUGGCUUCAGCGGCGGACGGGUGAGUAAUGCCUAGGAAUCUGCCUGGUAGUGGGGGAUAACGUCCGGAAACGGGCGCUAAUACCGCAUCCGUCCUGAGGGAGAAAGUGGGGGAUCUUCGGACCUCACGCUAUCAGAUGAGCCUAGGUCGGAUUAGCUAGUUGGUGGGGUAAAGGCCUACCAAGGCGACGAUCCGUAACUGGUCUGAGAGGAUGAUCAGUCACACUGGAACUGAGACACGGUCCAGACUCCUACGGGAGGCAGCAGUGGGGAAUAUUGGACAAUGGGCGAAAGCCUGAUCCAGCCAUGCCGCGUGUGUGAAGAAGGUCUUCGGAUUGUAAAGCACUUUAAGUUGGGAGGAAGGGCAGUAAGUUAAUACCUUGCUGUUUUGACGUUACCAACAGAAUAAGCACCGGCUAACUUCGUG